GACGAACGCUGGCGGCGUGCUUAACACAUGCAAGUCGAACGGAAAGGCCCUGCUUUUGUGGGGUGCUCGAGUGGCGAACGGGUGAGUAACACGUGAGUAACCUGCCCUUGACUUUGGGAUAACUUCAGGAAACUGGGGCUAAUACCGGAUAGGAGCUCCUGCUGCAUGGUGGGGGUUGGAAAGUUUCGGCGGUUGGGGAUGGACUCGCGGCUUAUCAGCUUGUUGGUGGGGUAGUGGCUUACCAAGGCUUUGACGGGUAGCCGGCCUGAGAGGGUGACCGGCCACAUUGGGACUGAGAUACGGCCCAGACUCCUACGGGAGGCAGCAGUGGGGAAUAUUGCACAAUGGGCGGAAGCCUGAUGCAGCAACGCCGCGUGCGGGAUGACGGCCUUCGGGUUGUAAACCGCUUUCGCCUGUGACGAAACGUGAGUGACGGUAAUGGGUAAAGAAGCACCAGCUAACUACGUG
rnacentral:rRNA from 1 species